CCUACGGGAGGCAGCAGUGAGGAAUAUUGGUCAAUGGGCGUAAGCCUGAACCAGCCAAGUCGCGUGAGGGAUGAAGGUUCUAUGGAUCGUAAACCUCUUUUAUAAGGGAAUAAAGUGCGGGACGUGUCCCGUUUUGUAUGUACAUUAUGAAUAAGGAACGGCUAACUCCGUGCCAGCAGCCGAGGUAAGACGGAGGAGCCGAGCUUUAUCCGGAUUUAUUGGGUUUAAAGGUUGCGUAGGCGGCCUUUUAAGUCAUCGGUGAAAGGCUGUGGCUAAACCAUAGUAUUGACGUUGAAACGGGGAGGCUUGAGUAUGUUUGAGGCAGGCGGAUUGCUUGUUGUAGCGGUGAAAUGCUUAGAUACCACGCAGAACCCCGAUUGCGAAGGCAGCCUGCCAAGCCAUGACUGACGCUGAUGCACGAAAGCGUGGGGAUCAAACAGGAUUAGAUACCCUAGUAGUC
rnacentral:rRNA from 1 species